AAAUUGAAGAGUUUGAUCAUGGCUCAGAUUGAACGCUGGCGGCAGGCCUAACACAUGCAAGUCGAGCGGUAGCACAGAGAGCUUGCUCUCGGGUGACGAGCGGCGGACGGGUGAGUAAUGUCUGGGAAACUGCCUGAUGGAGGGGAUAACUACUGGAAACGGUAGCUAAUACCGCAUAAUGUCGCAAGACCAAAGUGGGGGACCUUCGGGCCUCAUGCCAUCAGAUGUGCCCAGAUGGGAUUAGCUAGUAGGUGGGGUAACGGCUCACCUAGGCGACGAUCCCUAGCUGGUCUGAGAGGAUGACCAGCCACACUGGAACUGAGACACGGUCCAGACUCCUACGGGAGGCAGCAGUGGGGAAUAUUGCACAAUGGGCGCAAGCCUGAUGCAGCCAUGCCGCGUGUGUGAAGAAGGCCUUCGGGUUGUAAAGCACUUUCAGCGGGGAGGAAGGCGGUGAGGUUAAUAACCUCAUCGAUUGACGUUACCCGCAGAAGAAGCACCGGCUAACUCCGUGCCAGCAGCCGCGGUAAUACGGAGGGUGCAAGCGUUAAUCGGAAUUACUGGGCGUAAAGCGCACGCAGGCGGUCUGUCAAGUCGGAUGUGAAAUCCCCGGGCUCAACCUGGGAACUGCAUUCGAAACUGGCAGGCUAGAGUCUUGUAGAGGGGGUAGAAUUCCAGGUGUAGCGGUGAAAUGCGUAGAGAUCUGGAGGAAUACCGGUGGCGAAGGCGGCCCCCUGGACAAAGACUGACGCUCAGGUGCGAAAGCGUGGGGAGCAAACAGGAUUAGAUACCCUGGUAGUCCACGCCGUAAACGAUGUCGAUUUGGAGGUUGUGCCCUUGAGGCGUGGCUUCCGGAGCUAACGCGUUAAAUCGACCGCCUGGGGAGUACGGCCGCAAGGUUAAAACUCAAAUGAAUUGACGGGGGCCCGCACAAGCGGUGGAGCAUGUGGUUUAAUUCGAUGCAACGCGAAGAACCUUACCUGGUCUUGACAUCCACAGAACUUUCCAGAGAUGGAUUGGUGCCUUCGGGAACUGUGAGACAGGUGCUGCAUGGCUGUCGUCAGCUCGUGUUGUGAAAUGUUGGGUUAAGUCCCGCAACGAGCGCAACCCUUAUCCUUUGUUGCCAGCGGUUAGGCCGGGAACUCAAAGGAGACUGCCAGUGAUAAACUGGAGGAAGGUGGGGAUGACGUCAAGUCAUCAUGGCCCUUACGACCAGGGCUACACACGUGCUACAAUGGCAUAUACAAAGAGAAGCGACCUCGCGAGAGCAAGCGGACCUCAUAAAGUAUGUCGUAGUCCGGAUUGGAGUCUGCAACUCGACUCCAUGAAGUCGGAAUCGCUAGUAAUCGUAGAUCAGAAUGCUACGGUGAAUACGUUCCCGGGCCUUGUACACACCGCCCGUCACACCAUGGGAGUGGGUUGCAAAAGAAGUAGGUAGCUUAACCUUCGGGAGGGCGCUUACCACUUUGUGAUUCAUGACUGGGGUGAAGUCGUAACAAGGUAACCGUAGGGGAACCUGCGGUUGGAUCACCUCCUUA
rnacentral:rRNA from 1 species